rnacentral:misc_RNA from 1 species
GAUGAAGAACGUAGCGAAAUGCGAUACUUGGUGUGAAUUGCAGAAUCCCGCGAAUCAUCGAGUUUUUGAACGCAAGUUGCGCCCGAAGCCAUUCGGCCGAGGGCACGUCUGCCUGGGUGUCACGCAUCGUUGCCCCCCCAAACUCCGGUUUGGGCGGGGCGGAAGUUGGCCUCCCGUGCGUGCCUGCGCGCGCGGUUAGCCCAAAAGCGAGUCCUCGGCGACGGGCGCCACGACAAUCGGUGGUUUUUUUACCCUCGUUCCUCGUCGUGCGUGUCCCGUCGCCCGAACGCGCUCUUGUGACCCUCACGCGUCGCCUCAGUGGCGCUCCCAACGCGACCCCAGGUCAGGCGGGACUACCCGCUGAGUUUAAGCAUAUCAAUAAGCGGAGGA